ensembl:lncRNA CCDC144BP coiled-coil domain containing 144B, pseudogene
AAGAAAAAAGAGGUCUGCUCUUAAGGACAUGGAGAGCUACUUGUUGAAGAUGCAGCAGAAGUUGCAAAAUGAUCUAACUGCAGAAGUAGCAGGAUCCAGCCAAACUGGACUGCACAGAAUUCCACAGUGCUCGUCCUUCUCCAGCUCUUUGCACUUGCUUCUUUGCUCUAUCUGCCAACCUUUUUUUCUCAUCCUUCAGCUGCUACUAAAUAUGAACCUGGAUCCUAUAUAGCUUCUCCUCUAGGAUUUACACACAAGGAAAAUCUGAAUCAAGAUCCAGUUUUGGAAGUAACAAAAGAGUAUGCACAGAUUUUAAGAAGAAAAUACAUACUCUGAAAGAUAAGGCAAUUUUAUUUGGGCUAUUCACAUGAUAUUUUGUUUCCCAUUAAAUAUAUGAUGUGAACAUUUUUACUAAAGGGAAAUAUUCUAUAUUAUACAUGUCUGAUGAAAAUUUAUGUAGUAUUUUAAAUAAUGUUUCUUGGCCUCUUCAGCUAACUUUUAAGUGGAUUUUGCAAAUGAAAACCAGUAUUACUGAGUUUUACAUACUCGAACUGCCCAAAUGUUUGCUGUUUAAACAGCCAAAUAAUCAAGUUGCCAUUAGUAAUUUAGUGGAGCCAAUUGAUGGCUUGUUUGUAUUUUAUAAUUUUAUCUUUAUACAUAGUGAUAGAUUUAAGUUUAGAUAGACAUCAUUUUGGUAUACUGGUACUGUGGUCAUUGUCAAUGUUUGGAUGUAUUACGAUUGUUAUAGUGCAAUCAAACUUAGAUAAUUUUAAUUUUAAGCACUGAUUUAUUUAGAUCUUUCCUUGUGGAAAAAUAAGGUUUGCCUAAGGCUUUUUGCUUUUUUAUUUAUUGUUUCAUUUCUUUAUUAGAUUAACUUUUGGGAAACAGUCUUAAAAUUGGA